UACAGGGGGGGCAAGCGUUGUUCGGAAUUACUGGGCGUAAAGGGCUCGUAGGCGGCCAACUAAGUCCGACGUGAAAUCCCAAAGCUUAACUUUGGAACUGCGUCGGAUACUGGAUGGCUUGAAUUCGGGAGAGGGAUGCAGAAUUCCAGGUGUAGCGGUGAAAUGCGUAGAUAUCAGGAGGAACACCGGUGGCGAAGGCGGAUCUCUGGGCCUGUUCUGACGCUGAGGCGCGAAAGCUAGGGGAGCGAACAGG
rnacentral:rRNA from 1 species